rnacentral:rRNA from 1 species
CUUUCCUUGAUGACGACUGGCGCACGGGUGAGUAACGCGUAUCCAACCUUCCCAUAACUACGGGAUAACCCGUUGAAAGACGGCCUAAUACCGUAUGAUAUCGUUUGCUGACAUCAAAUAACGAUUAAAGGUUUAGCGGUUAUGGAUGGGGAUGCGUCUGAUUAGCUUGUUGGCGGGGUAACGGCCCACCAAGGCAACGAUCAGUAGGGGUUCUGAGAGGAAGGUCCCCCACAUUGGAACUGAGACACGGUCCAAACUCCUACGGGAGGCAGCAGGU